GAUGAACGCUGGCGGCGUGCCUAAUACAUGCAAGUCGAGCGAACGGACGAGAAGCUUGCUUCUCUGAUGUUAGCGGCGGACGGGUGAGUAACACGUGGAUAACCUACCUAUAAGACUGGGAUAACUUCGGGAAACCGGAGCUAAUACCGGAUGAUAUUUUGAACCGCAUGGUUCAAAAGUGAAAGACGGUCUUGCUGUCACUUAUAGAUGGAUCCGCGCUGCAUUAGCUAGUUGGUAAGGUAACGGCUUACCAAGGCAACGAUGCAUAGCCGACCUGAGAGGGUGAUCGGCCACACUGGAACUGAGACACGGUCCAGACUCCUACGGGAGGCAGCAGUAGGGAAUCUUCCGCAAUGGGCGAAAGCCUGACGGAGCAACGCCGCGUGAGUGAUGAAGGUCUUCGGAUCGUAAAACUCUGUUAUUAGGGAAGAACAUACGUGUAAGUAACUGUGCACAUCUUGACGGUACCUAAUCAGAAAGCCACGGCUAACUACGUGCCAGCAGCCGCGGUAAUACGUAGGUGGCAAGCGUUAUCCGGAAUUAUUGGGCGUAAAGCGCGCGUAGGCGGUUUUUUAAGUCUGAUUUGAAAGCCCACGGCUCAACCGUGGAGGGUCAUUGGAAACUGGAAAACUUGAGUGCAGAAGAGGAAAGUGGAAUUCCAUGUGUAGCGGUGAAAUGCGCAGAGAUAUGGAGGAACACCAGUGGCGAAGGCGACUUUCUGGUCUGUAACUGACGCUGAUGUGCGAAAGCGUGGGGAUCAAACAGGAUUAGAUACCCUGGUAGUCCACGCCGUAAACGAUGAGUGCUAAGUGUUAGGGGGUUUCCGCCCCUUAGUGCUGCAGCUAACGCAUUAAGCACUCCGCCUGGGGAGUACGACCGCAAGGUUGAAACUCAAAGGAAUUGACGGGGACCCGCACAAGCGGUGGAGCAUGUGGUUUAAUUCGAAGCAACGCGAAGAACCUUACCAAAUCUUGACAUCCUUUGACAACUCUAGAGAUAGAGCCUUCCCUUUCGGGGGACAAAGUGACAGGUGGUGCAUGGUUGUCGUCAGCUCGUGUCGUGAGAUGUUGGGUUAAGUCCCGCAACGAGCGCAACCCUUAAGCUUAGUUGCCAUCAUUAAGUUGGGCACUCUAAGUUGACUGCCGGUGACAAACCGGAGGAAGGUGGGGAUGACGUCAAAUCAUCAUGCCCCUUAUGAUUUGGGCUACACACGUGCUACAAUGGACAAUACAAAGGGCAGCGAAACCGCGAGGUCAAGCAAAUCCCAUAAAGUUGUUCUCAGUUCGGAUUGUAGUCUGCAACUCGACUACAUGAAGCUGGAAUCGCUAGUAAUCGUAGAUCAGCAUGCUACGGUGAAUACGUUCCCGGGUCU
rnacentral:rRNA from 1 species